rnacentral:lncRNA from 1 species
AGAAACACAGGUGUGAAGAGAGAUGACAACUCCUCCCUGUGUUCUCAGAUGAUGGAAGGAUCAGGGGCUUUGUCUAAAAAGGCACUAAUCCCACUCACGAAGGCCCCACCCUCAUGACCUAAUCACCUGCCCAGGCCCGCACCUUCCAAUGCCAUCUCCUCGAUGAUGAGUUUCAGCAAAUGAGCACACACAGUGAGACCAUACUAGGCCAGCAGAAUAUGCUAAAAUACAAGAUAAACAACUAAACCAGGAGUCUGGCCCCGCUACAGGACAAUUGUCCCAACCCUUCAAAAAGUCAGUAUCAUUGAAAGAAAAAUGGAGAUGCCACUCUAGACUAAAAAGACAAAAGAGACUGAGCAACCCAAUGCAGAUGUAUGAGUUUGAUUGGAUCCUG